GGAUUACUGACGUGAGCCACUGUGCCUGGCCCAGAAAUGAUUAGGGUACCAGAGGCCCAGGCAGUACUUUUGGGGUAGACGAGGUACAGACCUUUGGCUCCUCACUGUCUUCAAGCCCACAAGAAGCAUAGAGCAGAAGAAGACAGAGGAGGGCCCAUCUGGCCCACUACCUGUUCUUGUAAAUAAAGCUUUAUUGAAGCCAGGUGCUCACCUUCUAGCACAUUCUUCAAGAGUUACUCUGAGGCAAGCCAGCCGCCAUGUCAUGAGGACACUCAAGCAGCACCAUGGAGAGGUCCGAUGGCGAGGAACAGAGGAUCCCCCUGCCGACAGCCAAUGAGGAACAGGCCUCCUGCCAACAGCCGUGUAAGGGGUCACCUUGGAAGCCAAUGGCCCCUCCCUGGUCAGGCUUUUACAUGACUGCAGUCCUGGCCAACAUCCUGACGGCAACCUCAUGAGAGACCUUGAGCCAGAGCCACCCACCUAAGCUGCUUAUAGGUUCCUGGCCCUCAGAAAUCACAUGAGAUCAUAAAUGUUUGCUCAAUUUGAGAUAUUUGUGAUGUAGCAAUAAAUAACAAACACACUUA
rnacentral:lncRNA from 1 species